ACUACUAUCUACAGCCAUGCCCAUUAACAUAGGCCCUACUCAUGUACUAGAUCUAGUUCUUUUGAUCACAACUCAUAUCUUGCCUAGAUAUAAACAACUGUACUAGAUUAAACUAGACAUUCUAAUCGGUUCUAUUUUCGUUUUUCAUUAUUCUCACAUAUUCUAGUAGGCAAUAGGUACCAAAUUGUGCUAUUUAUUUACUGUAGAUCUAGAUCUUAACUUUUCUCUUAACUACCAAAGAAGUACACAAAGGAUGUUGAAAGGUACCCAAAGGGCUCUUAUUGCUACCAUUCAAUGUGUGGAAUCAAGUAUUUACAUAGAUACUGCCACAAUAUGCUCUUAUUGUUUUCAAAGGAGUUUUCACACAGUGCCAGAAGCUGUAUAAAUACAUUUAACAAUGUAUAUUUCAAGAAGAAAUGAUGCUUUCUUAUUUCUAAGAGUUUAUCAAUAGGAUGAAUGCCACAAAACUCACUUGUUAUGCCAGAAACUCUUCCUACGAAACUUCCAUACUAGAAUUUGUCCAGUGCCUGUGAUCCUCUGAGUUGAAGGAGAAUAUGCUCCAUAAUACCUACUAGGAGCUUGCUGAUAGCUGGAAGUUCAUGAAUACUAUGUUGUCCUUGAUUUGAUGAUUCUGAAAACUACCAUUUCUGAAGACUUGAGCAUUAUUUCUAUAAUUUAAACAAAUCUUUUCAGGAAAUAUUGUGUUUAUAAUAUUAAGAAAGGGAAGAUAAUAUUGUUCUUACUAAUAUUAUUGACUUAUUAAAAUAGAAAGCACAUCAUUACCAAUAUUCACUUGUCAAUAAAUGUUAGCAUUAUUCAAUUUUUAGUUACAUGUUCAAACUAUUAAAUUUUAUUAUUUAAAUUAUAGCAACUUUCUCUUUCAGUCCAGCUUACGAUACAUUCCUGUAAAAAGUCUAUAAUAAUAAGUUAAUGUCGAUGUAGUAUUGUUCAAACACUUACAAGUUUAAUCAUCUAUACUUCACAAAAAAAAAGUGUUUGAAUGGUUUUCAUUUGUUUGUACAUCAAAUAUGUAUUAAUAUAAUUAUCAUUUUUAGAUGAAACAUUAAAUACUGAAGAUGACCAUCUCAAUUUCUGAUGUAGGCCUAUUCUCAUUUCAUGAAAUAAACAAAAUAUUAUCUGAAAUUUCAUCCCUUCAUGGUAACUGUAACUGGCUUCAUAAAAAAAUGGAGUGAUGACUGGGUUGACUAUACAUUUUUGUAUAAAUAAUGCAUCAAUGAAUGUA